AAGACUAUACCUUCAGGGAUCAUUUCUAUAGUUUGUUACUAGAGAAGUUUUUCUGAAUAUAUAAAGCACCAGGGGAAAAAAAGAAAAGAAAACUGA
rnacentral:snoRNA from 1 species